rnacentral:rRNA from 1 species
UACGUAUGGUGCAAGCGUUAUCCGGAUUUACUGGGUGUAAAGGGAGCGUAGGCGGCGCGUUAAGUCUGAUGUGAAAACCCGAGGCUCAACCCCCGGACUGCUCUGGAAACUGUACGGCUGGAGUGCAGGAGAGAUAAGUGGAAUUCCUAGUGUAGCGGUGAAAUGCGUAGAUAUUAGGAGGAACACCAGUGGCGAAGGCGGCUUACUGGACUGUAACUGACGUUGAGGCUCGAAAGCGUGGGGAGCAAACAGG